GGCAAAACAUCCUAUUAAUAGAGAUGUCAGG
rnacentral:piRNA from 1 species